rnacentral:rRNA from 1 species
AUUGAACGCUGGCGGCAGGCCUAACACAUGCAAGUCGAACGGUAGCACAGAGGAGCUUGCUCCUCGGGUGACGAGUGGCGGACGGGUGAGUAAUGUCUGGGAAACUGCCCGAUGGAGGGGGAUAACUACUGGAAACGGUAGCUAAUACCGCAUAACGUCGCAAGACCAAAGAGGGGGACCUUCGGGCCUCUUGCCAUCGGAUGUGCCCAGAUGGGAUUAGCUGGUAGGUGGGGUAACGGCUCACCUAGGCGACGAUCCCUAGCUGGUCUGAGAGGAUGACCAGCCACACUGGAACUGAGACACGGUCCAGACUCCUACGGGAGGCAGCAGUGGGGAAUAUUGCACAAUGGGCGCAAGCCUGAUGCAGCCAUGCCGCGUGUAUGAAGAAGGCCUUCGGGUUGUAAAGUACUUUCAGCGAGGAGGAAGGUGUUGUGGUUAAUAACCGCAGCAAUUGACGUUACUCGCAGAAGAAGCACCGGCUAACUCCGUGCCAGCCGCCGCCGUAACAC